CUCCAGGGAGUGUGGCAGGAACUCCACUACUGACUUGAUGUGUGCCGCGUCACAAGCAGCGCACACAUUGAACAUUUGUAAUAACUUUGGAACAUUAUAAAAUUAUAAUCCCCCAGAAUUUUUUGUUUGAAAUUUGUAG